GUCGUUUUCUAACUUUCAUAUUGACAAUAAAAUAUAUUCCUUGUUUCCCUCAACAGAGGGAGCCUUAUUAUUGCAUCCAAAAAGAAAUUACCUCUGGUAUACGUACAUCCAAACACACUGUUAAAAUAGCCUGACCAUAGACAUUUUCUUCUUUCUGUUUAUUUUUUCUUUCUUUAAUUUUGCCCUGCAAAACCAUAUCAAACUAUUUGCAAAUCAUGUUCAAGAAAUUGUAUUAAAAGUACAUUUAGUGUCGUACAAGAUCAAACUCACUCUCGAAAUUGGGAAGAAUCAACUCAAAAAAGUCUUUGUGUGACUAGUGUUACACAGAAGUGUUGGGUGAUCAUUGUUCCGUCCUUUGUUCUCCAUAGUAAUUGGGGAUCAAAAAGCACCAAAUUAUAUUUUACAAGAAAAUAUUAUCCUCUCCGCCCU
rnacentral:lncRNA from 1 species